UGGUCAUGUCAGAUAGCCAUGCAUGCCUCCGAAAUGCGUUCUCUCAGCAAAUCUGCGAACGGCUCCGUAUAUCUGUUAACACUUAUUUCCCCUAUAGAGAGGUCGCUAGCCGGAUAUAGCCCGGCAAUUCUGUCAGUAAUACGUUCACGUGCAGAGUCGAGCGCCACCCUACCGGGAGAGGUAAAUCAGACAACUCCCUCAGGGCAUUUAUACGCUCGGACUCCCCCCUUGCCCCAAAUUCUAAGGUGAGCCUGGGGGAGCGUCCUAAGUUGUGACUCUCGGAGAAAUAGUUUUCAGACCUAUCAACUUGUGGCCUGUGGAUAGCCCAGGCUAGGUGUUAACGGGUACAGAGGAUCAGGGUUCGGUCCUGGAGAGGUAGCCUGAGAGAUCGCUACUACUUCUAAGGAAGGCAGCAGGCGCGCAACGUUCCCAAUGGGUUUCCAGCAAGCCUGAGGACGUAACGGAACAUAGUGAUGCCCCGCCGAUAAAAAGGUUGGGGCAAUCGCAAUGGGGGGAAUCUAAACCCCACGACCGAGUAGCAAUUGGAGAACAAGUCUGACGUUAGGGGACAUAUGAAUGCCUGCCAAAUUGGUGGGCAAUUCAAAUGGGGUUGUUCUAAACAGCCUCUCGAGUAACAAUUAGAGGACA
rnacentral:rRNA from 1 species